rnacentral:rRNA from 1 species
UAGGGAAUCUUCCGCAAUGGACGCAAGUCUGACGGAGCAACGCCGCGUGAGUGAAGAAGGAUUUCGGUUCGUAAAACUCUGUUGUUAGAGAAGAACAGCGCAUAGAGUAACUGUUAUGCGUGUGACGGUAUCUAACCAGAAAGCCACGGCUAACUACGUGCCAGCAGCCGCGGUAAUACGUAGGUGGCAAGCGUUGACCGGAUUUAUUGGGCGUAAAGCGAGCGCAGGCGGUCAAUUAAGUCUGAUGUGAAAGCCCCCGGCUCAACCGGGGAGGGUCAUUGGAAACUGGUUGACUUGAGUGCAGAAGAGGAGAGUGGAAUUCCAUGUGUAGCGGUGAAAUGCGUAGAUAUAUGGAGGAACACCAGUGGCGAAGGCGACUCUCUGGUCUGUAACUGACGCUGAGGCUCGAAAGCGUGGGUAGCAAACAGG